AUGACAGCCGACGAUCUCAAGAAGCUCGAGGCCGAGUUGAAGGAACGCGAGUCUCUCCUGCAGACUCGCCAGGAAGAACUUGAUCGUUGCGCCGCCGAGAUGGGCAAAGCUCCCGCAACCUCCCCAGCAGCCUCCACGCCCAGCCCUUCCAUUUAUGCCACCUCCAUCAAACUUCAUGUACCCAUCACCCUCGACCUGACCGCCUCCAACUACACCAACUGGCACGAGCUGUUCCUCGUCGCCCUUGGCCGCUAUGGCCUUACAGCUCAUGUCAUCGGCGAUGCCGGCACUACUCCCUCCGACACUUCGCCGGCUUCGGAUUGGGGCCGCGACGACUACACGGUUCUCUCUUGGAUCUAUGGCUCUAUCUCCAUCGACCUCUUCGGCAUCGUCAUGCGCCCCGGCUCCACCGCGCGCACGAUCUGGGACGCCAUCGAGAAUAUCUUCCACGACAAUAAAAAGCACCGGGCAAUCCAGCUGGAAGCAGAGUUCAGGAACACCCCGCAAGGCGAUAUGACCGUCGGUGACUACUGCACAAAGCUCAAGUCCCUUGCUGAUUCUCUAGUGGAUGUUGGCCAGACGAUCAGCGACGAAACACUCGUCCUCACCCUCCUGCGUGGCCUCAACGACAGUUUCGCCCACCUCCGCUCGUUUCUUCCGUUCCAGGUGCCCUUCCCCUCGUUCCUGCAGACCCGCUCGGCGUUGAUCCUUGAAGAGAGCCAGAAGAAAACUGAUGCCAAGAACGCGGCAUCCACUGCCCUUUGGGCUAGCGGGAAUAGCAUCACCCCGAGCGCUGGCGGUGAACAUGCUCCUCUCCCUAUCUCCGGGGGCGUCGGCUCUGGAGGGCGUGGAACGGGCUCCACCUUCAACCGCGGCAGUGGCCGUGGACGUGGCGGACGCGGUGGACGUGGCCGCGGCCGCGACAAUCCAUGGCAGUUCAACCCAUGGACGGGUGCUCCGACGCGAGCAUAUCUUCAGCAACAACACACACAGGCUCCAUGGCAGCAGCCCUCCUCUUCCUGGCAGUCACGUCCGUGGCAGGCUCCUGCUCCAGGUCUACUUGGUCCUCGCCCCAACACUGCUCCUCAAGCUUACACUGCGUACGGCCAUGCCAACAACAACUCCAACAUGCUGCAGCACCUUCAUCAAGCUCGGCGGUCGACCCUGCGCUUCUAG
rnacentral:rRNA from 1 species